GACGAACGCUGGCGGCGUGCUUAACACAUGCAAGUCGAACGGAAAGGCCCCUUUGGGGGUACUCGAGUGGCGAACGGGUGAGUAACACGUGAGUAACCUGCCCUUGACUUCGGGAUAACUUCAGGAAACUGGGGCUAAUACCGGAUAGGAAUCCUUGCUGCAUGGUGGGGGUUGGAAAGCUUCGGCGGUUUUGGAUGGACUCGCGGCUUAUCAGCUUGUUGGUGGGGUAGUGGCUUACCAAGGCUUUGACGGGUAGCCGGCCUGAGAGGGCGACCGGCCACCUUGGGACUGGGAUACGGCCCAGACUCCUACGGGAGGCAGCAGUGGGGAAUAUUGCACAAUGGGCGGAAGCCUGAUGCAGCAACGCCGCGUGCGGGAUGACGGCCUUCGGGUUGUAAACCGCUUUCAGCAGGGGCGAAGCUUGUGGUGACGGUACCUGCAGAAGAAGCACCGGCUAACUACGUG
rnacentral:rRNA from 1 species